AUUGAACGCUGGCGGCAUGCUUUACACAUGCAAGUCGAACGGUAACAGGGUGCUUGCACCGCUGACGAGUGGCGAACGGGUGAGUAAUGCGUCGGAACGUGCCGGGUAGUGGGGGAUAACGCAGCGAAAGUUGUGCUAAUACCGCAUACGUAUUGAGGUAGAAAGUGGGGGACCUUCGGGCCUCACGCUAUUCGAGCGGCCGACGUCUGAUUAGCUAGUAGGUGAGGUAAAGGCUCACCUAGGCGACGAUCAGUAGCGGGUCUGAGAGGAUGAUCCGCCACACUGUGACUACGACACGGCCCAGACGCCUACGGGAGGAAGCAGUGGGGAAUUUUGGACAAUGGGCGAAAGGCUGAUCCAGCCAUGCCGCGUGUCUGAAGAAGGCCUUCGGGUUGUAAAGGACUUUUGUCAGGGAGGAAAUCCCUAGUGCUAAUAACACUGGGGGAUGACAGUACCUGAAGAAUAAGCACCGGCUAACUACGUGCCAGCCGCCGCCGUAA
rnacentral:rRNA from 1 species